rnacentral:rRNA from 1 species
UACGAAGGGGGCUAGCGUUGUUCGGAAUUACUGGGCGUAAAGCGCACGUAGGCGGAUUGUUAAGUCAGGGGUGAAAGCCUGGAGCUCAACUCCAGAACUGCCCUUGAUACUGGCAAUCUCGAGUCCGGAAGAGGUAAGUGGAACUCCGAGUGUAGAGGUGAAAUUCGUAGAUAUUCGGAAGAACACCAGUGGCGAAGGCGGCUUACUGGUCCGGUACUGACGCUGAGGUGCGAAAGCGUGGGGAGCAAACAGG